GUUGUCGCCGCAUGCUCCGGCCGUGCACCGUCGAGUCACCAACAAGACCACCAGCGUCAUCCCCUACGUCAAGCAGCAAUAAAAAAUCCACUAAACCAAGCAUCCACUAAACAUGUUUUUAAAUCAAAUGCUCUCAAGAAAUUUGGUAUCGUGCCAUACCAAUGCUCGAAAAUCAGUAGAAAAUCCACUCAAAGUGCAUUAUAAAUACAACCAGAAAAACAAAGCAAAGGGGAGAAGAUUUGGAAGAGUUUUCGAACAGCUAUAAAAAGGGGUUUAUACACAAGAGAGCGUGGGGGAAUUAAAAAAAAAAACAGUGUGUAAACAACAUUAAUUUCCUGGGAUUCAAAGAGAAAACAGUGUAACAGGGGUUUCCCCUACCAUUGUCGAAGCAAUAUAAAUCUAUUGAGCCACAUACAAACCCGAAACAUCUCCCCAACAGUUUCACGACAUAUUCACCAACAGACCGCAUCAUGUGCACCAUAAUAGCAGUGAUAAGAUUUAAGGAUGUGGGUACCAUCCUCAAUUGGAUUUAUGUGCAAGAUGGAAGGCUAAAAAGACAAAAUUAUUAGUGGAAGAUAUAGACCUAACAAAAUUCUACCUAAUCUCCUAAAGCAGCCGUGGCCAACAUCAGUAGCCACCAUGUAAGCUGGUCGCCGAGUUAACCCGAAGCCAGCCGUCGCCUCCGAAUACACCAGAUUCCAGCCGAGCCACCAAUGAGCUGCAAGCCGAGAUAGUUCGAGCCAUCACCGUUGUUAUCAACCUACACAAAUCAUCCACAGUGAUAGAUCUCCUACUUCAAUCAGCCAAAGUCAAGCAAAUUAAUGAUUUCACCUAAACUAGUCAUUAUCUUACCGUAUACGAAGAAAAUACAGAUACAGACAUGAGGAUUCGGCAAAGAGAACAAGCAUAAUUAAAGGGUGUUCGAACAAGAAAGGGAGGAAGAAACGGAAAUAAAGAAAAGGAAGAACAGGGAAGUUAUCAACAAUCAUUUGAACAGAAAAGAAAGCCAUUCGAAAGGGGAAUUCAACGAUUCGAAUAAGAGAAGGAUUCCGUCAACAACGGGAAAUAUCAACUAGGAAUACAUAAGGUCUUCUUCUCGUGUUUAUGUAAGCAAAUAGCAAAUCAAUAAAAUUUUAAAAGGUUUCCUUCA